rnacentral:lncRNA from 1 species
CCAGGUUUCUACAAGCCAGUGGGAUGGAUAAAAUUCUUGACAUAUCUCAGAUUGACAAGUUUGCCAGGAACGGGAAUAUAUAAUCUAAGAUAAAACCUUGAAGGCAUGUUAAUUGACCGUGAAGGCAUGUCAAUUGAGUGAGGUAAACUGAAUAAUAUUGGAAAGUAUUAAAGAAGGUGAAACGUGUCGAGAAAACAAAUAGAAGUUGAUUUCUAUUGAACCUAAAAUUAUUUUGUAUCGAGAAUUGUGUACAGCUGAGUAUAUA